rnacentral:rRNA from 1 species
AGUGAACGCUGGCGGUAGGCCUAACACAUGCAAGUCGAACGGCAGCACAGUAACAUCUUCCUCUUACCGGUGGCGAGUCGCGGACGGGUGAGGUAUGCACCGGUAUCUACGUGUGGGUGGGGGCUAACAAAGGGAAACUUACGCUAAAACCGCAUACGACCUAAGGGUGGAAGCCGUGGGGCUUCGGCCCUGUCGGGAUGGAAUGAGCCGGUGUCGGCUUAGAUAGUUGGUGGGGUAAAGGCCGACCAAGGCGACGAUCCGUAGCUGGUCUGAGAGGGAGACCAGCCACACUGGAACUGAGACACGGCCCAGACUCCUACGGGAGGCAGCAGUGGGGAAUAUUGGACAAUGGGCGAAAGCCUGAUCCAGCAAUGCCGCGUGAGUGAAGAAGGCCUUCGGGUUGUAAAGCCCUUUUGUUGGGAAAGAAAAGCAGCAGGCUAAUACCCCGGUGUUAUGACGGUACCCAAAGAAUAAGCACCGGCUAACUUCGUG